CAAGACGUAGCUAUAUUAAAAGUAUUCAGCUUACACCUGAAAGAUAUCUGCUUUAACCCAGAUCGUCUUGA
rnacentral:tRNA from 1 species